GUCUUUUUUUGCUUUUUAAAAUUUGGAUAUGUUUAGUCCACUUUCUAAAUAAAUUUCUGCAGUAUUUGGUCUAAAGGAGGCACAUUCUACUUCCUUGAGGUUCACUGUCAACCAAAGCAUUUCCCUUUGGAAACUGACUUAGUGUAAGUCGUGCAUUAGAAUUGUAAAUGGCAACUGUAACUGGCUUUUUUUAUGUUACUUUUGAAGAUCAUUGAUGUGCUGUGGCUAUAUAUGAAUGUGAGUGACUUUCUGAACAAAUUUACCAGAACUUCCAUAGUCCAGUAAGUCUUUGUUUUUCUAAAUUGUCAUCUACUAGUGGCAAGGAAGCAGAAGAGAAGGUUAAUUUCAUACAUAGCUGUUAGAAAUGUAAAUUGUGACAUCCUCCUUGGAAAUCAUUGUGACUCUGUCUUUUAACAUUAAGAAUAUAUUAUACUCUUUAAUACCAAUCUUUAAGAAGAAAAGUACCAGUACUUAAGAUUAUAUGUUUAUCAGUGUAUAUUGUAUAUUUUGAUAAGGACAAAAAAAGGAAAUAAUGUGACUAUCAGUAAGGGAAUGAUUGAGUAAACUGGUAUAAAAAUAUAUCAUGGCUGGAUGGUUUUCUAUGAAAAAAUGUGUAGGGGGAGCAAAUGCCUCCAGGUCAGAUAAGGAAAGCAAGGAAAAAGAGUAUGUGUUUGUACACCAAGUUUUGUAAAAUAAAGAUCUAAGAAUCUUAUGUGUGUAUAUUUGCAUAUAAUUUUAUGGGCCUAGAGAAUAGAAUUUUCCUACUUCAAAAAUACAAUCAUAAUUCCAUUGGAAAAUUUUUCAUGCGUUCCUUAGUCCCUAAAUGAACACUCAUUUAUACUAAAACUGUUACCCAUUAAAGUGGGCCCUGUUAGUUAAUUAACAUUAGCAUAGCUAAGGCAGGCUAAGCUGCACGGCGGCUCGCCUCUGGCUCUAGCUGUCACAGCUGCCUCGUGGGCUCGACUUGAACCUGUAUUCUGAACAAAAACACAUAUUUGACAUUCAUUGUUCCUGCAGUGGAAACGAAUCCAAAAACAGAUGAUAGUAAAGGCAGAAAAACCUAUGGAAAACUUUCAGGGAAUGCCAGCGAUACUACUAUAAAUGAGCGAAUUACAGAUGCUCUGAGAAAACACCUGCCUACCUGAGCAGCUGCAGAGGUGACCAUGGGAGUGACUGUCCUUUCAUGAGCUCCUUACUCCCAACACUUUAAAAAUCCAGGUCAGAACUAAAAAAAAAGUGCUUUGUGGUCCUCAUAAACCAAAGCAUUUGUAGAUGGAACUCCUAAAGACAGGUCCUUACAGCCUGGGCGAGGCCACAGCCCAGAGGUUCAGGGUGCAGGACAAAACCCAGCUGGUCGGGGUGUUCCCAGGUGUGGGCCUCUCACUCCAGAGCCCAUGCCCACCCGCUGCCCUUGUCCCGUGACUGUCUUUAUUCUACUGAUAUUUUAAUUUUGGAGAUUUUCUUUACAUUUCCAUAAAUAACCAUUUUUGUAACUAAAAUGUUUACAUAUUUUAGCUUUUUCACGUUGUUCUAUGUAUAAAUCUGAAGUUGGGGACCAUCUUGGUAUAUAGCUGACUUGGAUAAUCUGUUUGGUGUCAUUCUACUGUUGAACUAGCUGGAGGACUAAUAAUAGAGGAGAGCAGAUGUGGUGUCUUUCACCAGAGAUAAGCAACUUGAGACCACUUAACAAGUCCACACCCCUGGCCCUCUGUCACAUUCUUGAAAAAUGCUUAAAAGAGGGACCCCCCCCAACCUUUCAGCGCACCUCCUCGCUGAGGACCCACACUUUCCUUUCUUUAAAUGUGUAACUUUAAAUAAAGCUGUCUCACUGCUCAA